UAAAUAAAUGCCAUGGUGUUGUUACAAUGUGGCAAGCAAUUCGAUGCUAAUCACACACACACCACUGGCUACAGUGGCUAUAUUCUCUCUAGGAGGCAAACACAUAUUACAAUUAAUCGAUCUGCAUGGCUUCGUCGAUGAAAUUGACCGCUUUCCCACUGGGUCGCGUGGCCGAAUGUUGGUCAUUGCCGAACGCGGCCCCGGUAGUCUCACUGUCCUUCAGUUGGGUGAAAUACUGCAACGCGAAUUCGAGCAAAUCUCCCGGCUGAUUCCGUAACACUUCCACGGAAACCCACGCAUGUGACCCGAGAAACCAUGGCAACCACCCACCCAGGGAUUGCGUAUGAGAAGCGAGCUGCAGCAAUGCAUAGGAUGGCAAAAACUGCAGUGGCAUGUUGUGAGCGUUGACUCAUUUAAUGUAACCAAACAUAAUAGCCUACUCAGAGAUGGACAUAGCAAAAAUGUGUAAGAUUUGUUUAUAUAUAUACAUAUAUAUAUAUAAAAGGAAUAUCAUUAUGGCACUGGAUUCAUAAAUAAACUGGUAGUCUUAUAAUGAAUAUGCAUAAAGCAGCUGUCAGUUGCUUCAGGCUAUUCUGUUGUAGUCUGUUCUGUUUACAGUCAUUGGUUCAAAUUCAAGCUGGACAAAUGGCCACAAUUUACAGUAAAUGGCCUAUAUUAUGUUUAUUUUAACAACUAUGUGUUAAAUUAUGUAAAGAUAAUUCCAGCUAAAAGCUAAAAAGGGAGUACAAUUAGACUUGCGCUUCCUGUUCUGACCCACUUCCUUUCUGUCUUUAGGGAGGAAACAUAAUAAAUCAGUCAGACAGGGUUAUUGUCAAGGGACUAGGUUUCUGUGCUGAGCAGAGGACCAGCUUUUUUCUUUCCCUCUCAGACCCAUUUUACUGGAGAUCGUCAAGGGACCUGUGGCCACUUUGCUGUAAAGGACUAGCCUGGUCCCAGAUCUGUUUGUGCUUUUUUGCCAACUCCUAUGGUCCUUUUCACACCAAUGACUAUAGUGGAUAGUGGCUGGUAAAAUGGUACAAACAGAUCUGGGACCAGUCACACAUAUGCAUGGGGUUUUCCCUCUUAAUAUACAUUCUGUGUGUGUCCAUCAUCCUCACACAGUCAAUUUUCAUCCGUAGAAUUCAAGUAACAAACAAUAGUUUGUGUGUAAUUCAAACCCUGAUGUAUUGUUGUAAUCCCAGCAAGGCAGUGUUCCCAAACGGUUGCAGAUGUGACUGACUGUGCCCUCCUGGCCUUGUGGUUGGCAGCAGCCAUCCAGUCUUUUCCCCGGCAGAUUUGGAUAGAAGAAUGGGGUAUUAGAAGAAUAUCAGUGUGGGAACAUUUGAUACCAAACUACUGUAGGUGCGUAAAACAUAGGGAGGGAGACAUAUAUGUGUUUUGACACAGUAUAACAACAAUUUGAUUUAAAAUGUAAUUCAAUGUGGACACAGUCGUAUUAGAGCAUUUCAGACUGGAGGGUUUUGAGAGACUAUUCUGUUUCCUGUUUAUUAACAGAUUGAGAGUCAUUACAGUUAUAAGAAAACACUAACAAAGAACCCACCUGUGUGUUUUCCUGUAGGCUGACUCCCUGAUACCCUCACUAUACAGCAGUCUACACAACACCAACACCACCAUCAUCAUCACCAUCAUCACCACCACAACCAUCAUCAUCA